CCGACACCAACAUCUUAGAUCCUACCCUCGCUCAAAUCAGCUUCAAUGCCCUUUCCGGCACCUCUACUCCAUACGCCCUGCGACUCUUUGGAUUCAUCCACCACCUCAGGGUGAACGUCCUCAUUGACGGAGGAAGUACCCAUAACUUCAUCCAAGCCCGUGUCGCCAAACAUCUCCACCUCCCAACCAUACCCACCGCACCUUUACAGGUCACUGUUGGCAACAACAUUAUACUCCCUUGCGACCAAUUCUGUCCACAAACACCAUUGUCACUC
rnacentral:misc_RNA from 1 species